rnacentral:lncRNA from 1 species
UGAAAAGUGGCCUUAAAGUGUGGGAUUUCUACUUGCCACACGGUAAGAAACUCUUCCUGAUGACAGAAGGGUAUGAAGAUUUGUAAUAGCUUGAAUUUUAAGAGCAACCUGUCUGUAGAGCCCCGGUACAGCAGGGUGCUGGCCUGAAACCAAUGUUCUGUGGGACUGGAGCCAGAAACAGGAUCAGGGUUGCAGGAAGAACCCUGAAAAGAAAGGCUCUUCUUUCAGAAAGUGGAGCUCCAUGAGCUGUCGGCAUCCCAGGGGCAGAGCAGAGGCAGAUUUUGGCUGUGAAGUUGACCCAGCCAAUGCCACGCAGGACAAGGUGGCAUUGAGAAGGUCCACAGCAGCAGCAUGUGUGCUGGAGGGGAACCACAAGCCGUGAAGGAUAGGGCAAAAGUGCCCGCUUCAUAAAUACACAUAAACAAACAAAACAGCUCACCAGCAGACAAGUAAGUGGUCUCUGAUCCAGGCAAGCAUGAUUGUUUCUCCAAUUUCUUCCCUCUCUCCAUCCUCACCAGCUCUUCCAGUUGUUUUCAGCAGCGUUCUUGAAUGAAUAAGUCAGAAUAAAGACACACGGGAAAACCCAGCAAUAAGAAACCUGAAGAGUCGUGGAUGGAGCAAAUUAAAAGUUCUGCCCAAGUGCGUGCAUGACACACUGUGCUUACCCGUCUGCACUAAUGACAGUGCUUCCUCUGAAUGCUUUUCUUCAGCUUCCUUAUUAAUUAAAACACGCCUUUUAGAAAUGGCAGUCGGUGUAAUGAGAAGGACAGCCCCUGUUAUUAAUGCUGAACUCAUUCAAUCUCUUAUGCACGCUUGGUGCUGUGAAUGGCCACAGUGUUUUGGCAAUGCAUGCAUCAGCUUCAGGGGGGGAAAAAAAGCACUUUUAACACCUGAGAACCAGCAAAGCAGAGACAGGAAUGGCAAACCACAGUGACUGCUGUGUUCUUAUCCUCUGGUUCAUGGCUCACACUGCACUGGAGCACGGAGCAUGUUGUGAUCCCGGAGCUGUUCCAGCUCAUGGCACCACGGCUUGCACCCCAAGAGAGCACUAAAGCAGUAAGUGGGUGCAAGCACAUGUGCCCCAAGGGCUGCCUCAGCUGCAGCAGCUGCUA